AAACAAUUAUCCAGCCGUUGUUGCUCCUUACAUAAAAAACAUACAAAAAACUUGUACCUAUAAAAUGUUAUCAUAACAUAUCAGUGUUUAGUAUAAUGGCAAUGUGUCAUUGCAAAAAAAUCAUGUAAUAAAUCCAAGAUGUCAGAGAGGUUUGAUUACUUGUUAAAUAACAUUUUCAUGCCAUCUCUCUAGAUGCCCCAGUAAUCCUACCUAAGUCCUUCUGCCACCUGACAGGAGGAGUUCUAAAGUGUGUCUGCCAGGCUGAGGCGUCCCCUAAUGCCUCUAUAUACUGGACCAUUGAUGGAAAUGAACCUCUUCCAUCCUCCUUCAGCAUUGUUUCCACAAAUAAGAAAAAUUUUGUGUCUGGAAAAAUAAGUGGCCCAGCUCAAAGCCAAUCUAACAUAUCUUGCAGAGCCACAAACGUCCUGGGCAGCGACACCAUACAGCUGUCUGCACACUUACACAAGAGAGUUUUGUGUAUCACAUUUACUAUGCUAAUUACACUUUUUUCCAUUUACAGCCUCUUUGUAUGUGUGGUUGUCAGCUUUAUUGCUCCUGGGAAUUGGUUUGCUGUUUGGAUGUGCGUUGUUCAUUUACAGAAAAUAUUCUAGAAACAGGUUGGUAGACUUUACUCUUUGUCAUACAUAACGACUGUACUGCUAAUAUUAAUCUUUUUAGUGUUAUAUCUAACAGGUCGCCACCGGGCUUUGUGUGCAACACUAGUAUCCUUUUAAGGCCACAACAUGUAUCAGACAAUGUCCAACCAGAACAAAUAUACAGCAGUCCUCAAAGAUCACAAGAUUUGGAUGCACAAUCAAGCCCGUGCAGACCUGAGAGUAACUCUGAGGUGGACAGAUUUUCCAGUGUUUAUGACAAUUUUGUGGCAGAAAUGAGCAGACUAACCAGAGCUCAACAGCACCAGGAAAAUGCAACAGCCGCCCAAAGAGAAGACGAAAUACAGCCACAGGCAAAGGUGCAGUGACUGAUGACUGAUGGAAAAAAAAAAAGUAAGUGCAGUGGUUUACAACAGGCAUAGACCUCGACACAUAGAACCAAAGUC